UAGUAAAAGUAGGUUAUUUUUUUGAUAGAAAUAAUUUUUAUUUAUUCGCAGUAAAGAGUUUUAAAUAUAAAGUAAAUUUUGAUUUAGUAAUAAUUUUUAAUAUUAACAGAAUUUGUGCCAGCAGUUGCGGUUAGACAAAUAAUAUAAAUUAAUUUUAUUAAUUUUAAUUAUUUUAAAAAUUUUUAAAUUUUAAAUUUAAUUAAAUUAGGUGAAAUUUUUUAAUUGAUUAAAAAUUUUUUAUUGUUUAAGAAGUUAAUAAAUUUUUUUAUUAAACUAGGAUUAGAUACCCUAUUAUUAAUUAUGUAAAUUUUUAAAUUAGAUUAGUAUUAGUUAUGUUCUUAAAAAUUAAAGAUUUUGGCGGUAUUUUAGUCUAUUUAGAGGAACCUGUUCUGUAAUUGAUAAUCCACGAUUAAUUUUACUUAUAUUAAUUAGUUUGUAUAUCAUUGUAGAGGAAUAUUUUAUAAGAAAUUAAUAUUCAGAAAUUUUUAUUAAAAAAAAAAUCAAAUCAAGGUGCAGUUUAUAUAUAAGAAGAAAUGGGUUACAUUAUAUUAUAUAUAUGGAUAUAAAAAUUAAAAUUUUAUUGAAAUUGGAUUUAAUAGUAAUUUUUUUAUUAUAAAAAAAAUGAUUUUAGCUCUAUAAUAUGCACAUAUCGCCCGUCAUUUUCAUAUAAAAUGAAACAAGUCGUAACAAAGUAGGCUUACUGGAAGGUGAGCCUAGAAAGAU
rnacentral:ncRNA from 1 species